GCUGACUAGCUUGGUCGAAUUUGCUCCAUCACUUCAGCACCUCGCCGCCACCAUCUCGCUCAGCGACUAUCUUAGAAUGCUUAUCGCGCAGGCCGCAGGUACGUAUACUAGUUAAUAUUUUAAUAUUAAAAUACAUAAUAACACCAACAAUGAAGUACUUUUUCUAUUUACUCAUUUUUGUGAAUUUGUUAAAAAAGGUUUUCAGGUGGUCUCCAUUGGAGGUGAGCGUUUGUAAGUGGUGACAUCUUGCUUUGUUUGCAACAAUUUGAGUCGUUUUCAGUGUUACAUUGUCUAGAAGGUGAUUUUAUGCCUUUGAUUUUUGCAGUAGGAUGACAAGCCCGUAAUCUUAUAUCUAAGUAGUAAGGGUGACAAAAAUAAGCAUCACCAAAGUUGAUGUUCCCAUAGUGACGUUCUUCAUGAUUUUUGUUCCUGUUUUCUUUUAUGAUUUUGUUCCAAAUGUUGGUUGUGUGGAAAUAUUGAAAUGGUCUAUCUUGUUUAUAUAGUGUUCUCGAUCAGAGAAAAUGUCAUCUGCGCUCAAUGUAUGAAAAGUUUCUUAUAAUUAA